GAUUUCCUGAGGUGUGCGCUAAGCUUAUGAUAUUCAACCUACAUGACAUUUUCGGGAUUUGCAACAUGCUUAUGGAUGUCGGACUUCAUUUAUUCACGUAAGUGGCGGAAGAUGACAAAAGUAAGUUGAGCUUAACCCACCUGCGAGGCGCAGGUAUUGAAUAUAUAGGUGAACGGCAUGUUGGGAAAUGU
rnacentral:other from 1 species